AGCUCCAAUAGCGUAUAUUAAAGUUGUUGCAGUUAAAAAGCUCGUAGUUGGAUUUGUGGCUUUCGCUAGCGGCCCGUCACUUCGUGUCGGUGUUUGCUGGCGUAGCCAUCCUUGGGUGGAGCCUGUGUGGCAUUAGGUUGUCGUGCAGGGGAUGCCCAUCGUUUACUGUGAGAAAAUUAGAGUGUUCAAAGCAGGCUUAUGCCGUUGAAUAUGUUAGCAUGGAAUAAUAAGAUAGGACCUUGGUACUAUUUUGUUGGUUUGCGCACCGAGGUAAUGAUUAAUAGGGACAGUUGGGGGUAUUCGUAUUCCAUUGUCAGAGGUGAAAUUCUUGGAUUUCUGGAAGACGAACUACUGCGAAAGCAUUUACCAAGGAUGUUUUCAUUAAUCAAGAACGAAAGUA
rnacentral:rRNA from 1 species